GACGAACGCUGGCGGCGUGCUUAACACAUGCAAGUCGAACGGAAAGGCCCUGCUUUUGUGGGGUGCUCGAGUGGCGAACGGGUGAGUAACACGUGAGUAACCUGCCCUUGACUUUGGGAUAACUUCAGGAAACUGGGGCUAAUACCGGAUAGGAGCUCCUGCUGCAUGGUGGGGGUUGGAAAGUUUCGGCGGUUGGGGAUGGACUCGCGGCUUAUCAGCUUGUUGGUGGGGUAGUGGCUUACCAAGGCUUUGACGGGUAGCCGGCCUGAGAGGGUGACCGGCCACAUUGGGACUGAGAUACGGCCCAGACUCCUACGGGAGGCAGCAGUGGGGAAUAUUGCACAAUGGGCGGAAGCCUGAUGCAGCAACGCCGCGUGCGGGAUGACGGCCUUCGGGUUGUAAACCGCUUUCGCCUGUGACGAAGCGUGAGUGACGGUAAUGGGUAAAGAAGCACCGGCUAACUACGUGCCAGCAGCCGCGGUGAUACGUAGGGUGCGAGCGUUGUCCGGAUUUAUUGGGCGUAAAGGGCUCGUAGGUGGUUGAUCGCGUCGGAAGUGUAAUCUUGGGGCUUAACCCUGAGCGCGCUUUCGAUACGGGUUGACUUGAGGAAGGUAGGGGAGAAUGGAAUUCCUGGUGGAGCGGUGGAAUGCGCAGAUAUCAGGAGGAACACCAGUGGCGAAGGCGGUUCUCUGGGCCUUUCCUGACGCUGAGGAGCGAAAGCGUGGGGAGCGAACAGGCUUAGAUACCCUGGUAGUCCACGCUGUAAACGGUGGGUACUAGGUGUGGGGUCCAUUCCACGGGUUCCGUGCCGUAGCUAACGCUUUAAGUACCCCGCCUGGGGAGUACGGCCGCAAGGCUAAAACUCAAAGGAAUUGACGGGGCCCCGCACAAGCGGCGGAGCAUGCGGAUUAAUUCGAUGCAACGCGUAGAACCUUACCCGGGUUUGACAUGGAUCGGGAGCGCUCAGAGAUGGGUGUGCCUCUUUUGGGGUCGGUUCACAGGUGGUGCAUGGCUGUCGUCAGCUCGUGUCGUGAGAUGUUGGGUUAAGUCCCGCAACGAGCGCAACCCUUGUUCACUGUUGCCAGCACGUUAUGGUGGGGACUCAGUGGAGACCGCCGGGGUCAACUCGGAGGAAGGUGGGGAUGACGUCAAGUCAUCAUGCCCCUUAUGUCCAGGGCUUCACGCAUGCUACAAUGGCUGGUACAGAGAGUGGCGAGCCUGUGAGGGUGAGCGAAUCUCGGAAAGCCGGUCUCAGUUCGGAUUGGGGUCUGCAACUCGACCUCAUGAAGUCGGAGUCGCUAGUAAUCGCAGAUCAGCAACGCUGCGGUGAAUACGUUCCCGGG
rnacentral:rRNA from 1 species